UACGUAGGGACCUAGCGUUGUCCGGAAUCAUUGGGCGUAAAGCGCGCGUAGGCGGCUAUUUAAGUCGGAUGUGAAAGCCCCUGGCUCAACUGGGGAAGUGCACCCGAAACUGAAUGGCUUGAGUGCAAAAGAGGGCCGCGGAAUUCCCGGUGUAGAGGUGAAAUUCGUAGAUAUCGGGAGGAACACCGGUGGCGAAGGCGGCGGCCUGGGUUGACACUGACGCUGAGGCGCGAAAGCGUGGGGAGCAAACAGG
rnacentral:rRNA from 1 species